rnacentral:lncRNA from 1 species
AUGGCCAGUUCAUAUGCAACCUUGCUGUGAAGGACAUGGCGUUGGUGAAUGAUGCUGUGACUUUCUGGAAGCCUCAAGUGAUUGCAUUUGGCAACAAGGUUGAGCUUUAAAAAAAUAAUCUGUAGUAUUCAAAUUGGUAGCUAUAAAGAGCUCACAGUUAAAGAAACAAUGCUGAAUGGUUUGGUGGCCACUGAAAUAUGCAUGGGAUUUUAUAUU